GUGCUUGCUUUGACAGCACAGAUACUAAAAUUGGAAUGACACAGAGAAGAUUAGCAUGGCCUCUGUGCACGGAUGACAUGCAAAUUCAGGAAGCAUUCCUUAUUUUU